rnacentral:rRNA from 1 species
AUCUUGGUUCAGGAUGAACGCUAGCGGCAGGCUAACACAUGCAAGUCGAGGGGCAUCGGGAGUAGCAAUACUGCCGGCGACCGGCGCAAGGGUGCGUAACGCGUGAGCAACAUGCCCGUAUCAGGGGGAUAAUCCAUGGAAACGUGGUCUAAUACCCCAUAGUAAUUAUGUAAGGCAUCUUAUAUAAUUUAAAGCUUUGGUGGAUACGGAUUGGCUCGCGUGACAUUAGCUAGAUGGUAAGGUAACGGCUUACCAUGGCUACGAUGUCUAGGGGUUCUGAGAGGAAGGUCCCCCACACUGGAACUGAGACACGGUCCAGACUCCUACGGGAGGCAGCAGUGAGGAAUAUUGGACAAUGGAUGGAAAUCUGAUCCAGCCAUGCCGCGUGCAAGGAAGACGGCCCUAUGGGUUGUAAACUGCUUUUGUAUGGGAGCAAUAAGGGCUACGCGUAGUCCGAUGAGAGUACCAUACGAAUAAGCACCGGCUAACUCCGUGCCAGCAGCGGC